UACGGAGGAUGCGAGCGUUAUCCGGAAUUAUUGGGUUUAAAGGGUGCGUAGGCGGCCAUUUAAGUCAGCGGUGAAAUUUUGCAGCUCAACUGUAAAAGUGCCUUCGAAACUGGUUUCCUUGAGUGUAGAUGAAGUAGGCGGAAUUUGUGGUGUAGCGGUGAAAUGCUUAGAUAUCACGAGGAACUCCGAUUGCGCAGGCAGCUUACUAAACUACUACUGACGCUCAGGCACGAAGGCGUGGGGAUCAAACAGGAUUAGAUACCCCUGUAGU
rnacentral:rRNA from 1 species